UGGCCAGACUCCUACGGGAGGCAGCAGUGGGGGAUAUUGCACAAUGGGGGGAACCCUGAUGCAGCGACGCCGCGUGGGUGAAGGAGUAUUUCGGUAUGUAAAGCCCUAUCGGCAGGGAAGAAAUUGGACGGUACCUGACUAAGAAGCCCCGGCUAACUACGUGCCAGCAGCCGCGGUAAUACGUAGGGGGCAAGCGUUAUCCGGAUUCACUGGGUGUAAAGGGAGCGUAGACGGCCAGGCAAGCCUGGAGUGAAAGCCCGGGGCCCAACCCCGGGACUGCUCUGGGAACUGUCCGGCUGGAGUGCGGGAGGGGCAGGCGGAAUUCCUGGUGUAGCGGUGAAAUGCGUAGAUAUCAGGAGGAACACCAGUGGCGAAGGCGGCCUGCUGGGCUUUUACUGACGCUGAGGCUCGAAAGUGUGGGGAGCAAACAGGAUUAGAUACCCUAGUA
rnacentral:rRNA from 1 species